rnacentral:lncRNA from 13 species
GGAGGUGGGCUCUGCCAUCUCCCAGAGGCUGCUGCUGCCCAGGGACCUCCACCUCCCCUGGGUGGUGACGUGUGGGGCCUGUAGGUCUCACGGGCAUCUGAGUGGGAUGGGAGCAGCUGCUGCCAGGUCUGCCCUGCCAGUCCUGCCCAGCCUGUCUGGGGAUGGCAGGGUCUGGGAUCCUCCUGCCAAGGACUUGGAAGCAAAGGUGUACAGGGUGGCCUCACGGUGAUGGGAAAUGCCUGGCAAGGGGGAGGCCCAGCAGUGUCCCUGCUCCCAAACAGACCAUCAGUCCAGGUCCUGCAGUGCUCGGCCAUGGUCCCGAGAGUGGGUGUGGGACCUGCACCAGAGUCCUUGUGCUGCAGGGUGUGCAACGGUGACUUCAGACUUGGAGGAGAGUGUGGCUGCCUGAUGGGAAUGUGGAUGGGCUGCUCCUGCUGCCACCCACCUCAGCCCAGCGAGGAUGAGGAUGGAGCAAGGCAGAAGGAGGACAGGCUGCUGCUCCUGGGUGCUGAACGGAAAACCUCUGACCUUGGUGGAUUGUUUCCAAGUGAGCCAGCCCCUGGGCUGAGAGAGCUGCUCCAGCUGCCACGCUGCAGGCACCAGCCCCUGCUGGGCUGCCCAGUCUCAGGGCAAACAGGCACAAAAGGCUUUAGCGAUCCCGUGUGUCCUCGGGGCGGAAGAAUGGAAAGUCGCGUGCCCUCCCCGUGCCUGUGGGCCUUUCCACUGCGGACUCUGAUCCUCCUGCUCCAGUGAGCCCUCGGAUCAGUGCAUCAGGGGCUGGGUUGGGCUUCACAAACUCACUUUUCAACACAAUUUUUGAUACUCAUGGGUUCUUUUUCUCUUUCCUCCUCCAUGCAUAUUUUUACAGGAGGGGACUCUUGCAACAGGUGAGCAGCACUGUCAGUGUAUGCCCCAUGCCCCUUUGGUGAGCACCAAAGUGGAAGCUGUCAGUGAAUUCCUCUUGUUCCCCAAAUCUCCAGAUUGGUUGUCCUGAUCUCCCCUUGCCUGGCAGUGGUUACAGAAAUGGUGAUGUUGGUGGGUUUAUCAACAGUUGUGCUGUAUCGCCCCUUGCCUGCAUGGGUCCCUGGGCAUUGGGGGACACAUGGCCCCUGCCAGGCCCUGCCAUGCAGCCUUGGUCUGUGUUUCCUUCCAUCCUGCUGGGAAUGGUGAGCUGGAGCUGAGCCCCUGGGUGCUGGGCCGAGGAGCUGGUUGCUGCCGUGGCCAGUCACGCACAUGAGUCCCACCCCUACCAUGUACCAGAGCACUGCUUCACAUCUUGUGUAGAAAUGGGGAUGGCAGAUGUUGUAUUAAAUCAUGGGGUCAUCAUUUAUUUAUAGGUGAUUACAUUAAAGAGAGAUUAAUAUAGCCAAAGGCUUUGCAGAAUUAGAGUUAAUGUACUUGUGUUUAUUAUAUUUGCCAACAUUUCUCCAAUCCAGCUGGGGUUUUCUGGCCACAGGAUUUAACAGAGCCCACUGCCAUCCUCCAGCCUACCUGGGAGGUGGGUGAGAGGUCCAUGGAAAACACUUGAGAACUUUGAUCUUCGAGUGAUCAAUUCUAUUGCCUCCCAUUUUCUGAGGGUCCGUGGCAGGCGCUUGGUGCGUGGGCAGGGCAGGACUUGGCAAUGCUUAGAGUGGGGUUGGGAGGGGAGCGUGGGGUUGGGGCUCCCAGAUGUCUCUCCUGGGCUGGGAUUAUGCUGUGUUUAACUGGGAUUAGAUUACUGCAGAGCUGGGCACGGAUUUCUGACACCCUGGGGAGGUGGGUGUGUCCCUGAGGAGCACCGGUGGGGUGGGGGGUGUGUGUGCCUGGUGUUCCUUUGGUCCCUGUGCCCCCGGAACCUGGUCUGGGGCUGGCAGUCCCCUGUCCCAUGGGCUGUAGGUUGCCUGCUGCCAGCUCAGGGGGCACCAGUGGAGCUCCCCUGCUGAUGGAUGAACCAAAGGAGCCAAGAACACCCUUUGUUUGGCUGGAGGAGCCAAACCACAUGGGCUUGGGAAAACCACCAUGGGAAUGGUUACUGGUUAUGCCAGUCAGGACCGAGGGUGCACAGGGUGGAUGUGCGAAUCCCUGCUGUUGCCUGGCGGAACACCUGCCUGCCUCUGAGAGCCUGAAAAAACCCAAGCUUUGGGAGGCCAUCAAUAAAUUGUAACACAUUAGGCACUGUCACCCCUACCCCUGGACUCUUAAAUUUUGCUCUAAUUGGAGUAUUGCUUUUCCUUCCUCAGCACUUUUUCCCCUCGGCCAGGUAUCGAUCCUGGCUCUGUGGGGAUCUGGCUAACAUUUGGCAAUUUAUGGGAACAUAAAACUAGUCCAUCGUAGAGCAAAAACCCAACUUUUGAUAAGAAAUUGUGACAUCAGCCUCUGGCUGAUUCCAAGAUGGAUUUACCAUUUUACAGUGGGUCCCCAGGGUGGGGGUGCAGGGGCUAUUAGAAAAGGGAAAGGGAGCCAUUGGGGGAAAGGGACCAUUAGAAGCCUCUUGGGCUGGGCCACCUUGUGGGCAGGGGUGGCCUGAAGGGCUUUUGAAGAUGUGGGGGUCUCUUUUCUGGUCUCCUGUGCCCCUUCUCUUGGUGGUUGAGGAUCUGGCUGGGGUCCCCUGAUCCCACAGGACCUGGGUCCAUAGUAUGUCCCCUCCUGCCUGGAGCUUGGUCUCACUGCUGUGGGUGACAGGAGCUGGUGGGCAGCAGGCUGGGCUGGGGCAGGGGGUGGCAGGAGACUGCUGGCAGUGGAGGGGUCUGGUGCUGGGCAACCUCCCCAACCCUUUGACGUGUCUUCGCUCCAGCUUCCCCAGCCCCUUUGCUGCUCUCCUCUGGUGAUGGAUGCUGGUGGCUUUGCGGAUUGAGGCUGGUUGUGGAUUCCUGGACCUGUGGGUCCUUAUCCCGCUGGUGUGUUCCUGCAGGUUUGGGGGAGUGGGGCCCCUGGGGAGCAGGUCUCUGGGAUUAGGAGGCAGCUGGCACUCUCAGCCCAGCUCCAGCCCCAGGAGGAGCUCCUGAGCAUCCCAUUACUCCCAGCCCAGCCACCCCUCUCUCACAGCCUGCAGACGGACACACUGUGUCACGCAGCGCCAGGGCGUGUUGUGUUGGGCGUCCCGGUGCUGUAACAGCUGUUCUCCCCGCCAUUUGCUGCCGUCUAAUUGUGGUUUUAUUUAAAUGAGUCUAAAUUGUCUGGGAAUACAUUAGCUCACUGUCUCCCUGUGGCUCACACUCUAUGGAUGUGAGUGCUCUGCAGUCGGGAGCACUCGCGCUCCCCUUUUUAAUCUUGUGGAACCGGCUCCCUGGAGAGCGGGUGCAUUUCCUAACAGCCUUAACGAGUUGCCAGAGCUGGGGUCAGAUUGUCCUGGCCGUGGCAAUGGGGGCCGGGGGAGCUCGCCCAGCGUCGCUCCACAGCUCUGUGCUCCAGACUGUAAAUAAAGCCGUGUCCGCUGGUGCUACCGUGAAUCCCUUUGCUCCUUUAGCAGGCAGAGUGUGCGCAUUGCAAAGCAAUUCCUGGAGCCCCUAUGACAGUCUUUAAGCAUUUUAAUGUUUUGUGAAUGAUUUAUUGAGGGUAACGAGUAGAUGAUAGACUGCAUUUCAAGGUGUGGAUUAUCUAUUAGAGCUCAUGUGGAAGGCGUCUGCACUGACGGGCUGCUGCCAAGCAAGGCAAGUGCAACCGAUCUGCUGUGUUACAGGAGGGGUCAGCACCCCCUGCCACAGCUCGGAGAUAAUCCAGUGCCCCGCUCGCUGCUCUGGUGACAUCGGUAAAUACCUGCCCCUGGCCGGGUGGUGCCGAUCCUGCCCAUGGAAUCAGAGCUCCUGUCAUGCCUGGUUAGGAGGAACUUGGUGGUGGAUCCCCCCAGUGCUGGAUGGGUUCAUGGGCUGUGCCAUCACCUCUGCAGAGCCCCUGGUCUCAGGGCGGGAGAUGGGCAGGUGCUUCACUGAUUUAUGAAGUGAUUUGUAUUGUGGGGCCAGUCGUGCCACCAGGUGCUUCCCCACUCCAUGCAUCCCCGUGGGCUCCACAGUCCCAAGGUGUUGGCUGUGGGGCACGAAGCUCUUUGCACUCCACGGUGCUGGCUUUGAUUCUCUUUCACACCUUUUGCAGUUGGUGCUGCCCAUCCCACUGUGGCACAGCCAAGCUUGGGUCAAGAGGGAGCCGGCCCUGUGGGCUCAGGGUGAUGGUGACUGGGACAUUGUCCCCUGGGUACCCCUAGCUCUGCUGGGGGGGCGGCCGCCACUGCAGGGAGGGCAGGAGCUGUGCUGGCUUCAUUACAGUGAGAUUAAUGCUGGUUAUUGGGAGUUUUUAUCACCUCAAUGUUUCCUCUCAGCUCCUGAAACCAGCUUCAGCCCGGAUUUAUUACCGGGCAAAUAAAUACAAGUGCAGGUUUAUUUUGCUUCCUUGUUCAUCAGAAAGGAAUGAAAAUGUAAGCAAAAUAUUAAAAAU